AGGAUGAACGCUAGCGGCAGGCUUAAUACAUGCAAGUCGUGGGGCAGCAUGAGUAGCAAUACUUGAUGGCGACCGGCGAAACGGGUGAGGAACACGUACACAACCUUCCUUCAAGCGAGGAACAGCCCAGAGAAAUUUGGAUUAAUACCCCAUAAUAUAUUUGAUAAGGCAUCUUAUUAAUAUUAAAGCUUCGGCACUUGAUGAUGGGUGUGCGGCUGAUUAGAUAGUUGGCGGGGUAACGGCCCACCAAGUCUACGAUCAGUAGCUGAUGUGAGAGCAUGAUCAGCCACACGGGCACUGAGACACGGGCCCGACUCCUACGGGAGGCAGCAGUAAGGAAUAUUGGACAAUGGACGAAAGUCUGAUCCAGCCAUGCCGCGUGAAGGAUUAAGGUCCUCUGGAUUGUAAACUUCUUUUAUAUGGGACGAAAAAAGGGCAUUCUUGUUCACUUGACGGUACCAUAUGAAUAAGCACCGGCUAACUCCGUG
rnacentral:rRNA from 1 species